ensembl:snRNA LOC120101936 U6 spliceosomal RNA
GUGCUCAAUUCGGUAGCACAUAUACUAAAAUUGGAACGAUACAGAGAAGAUUAGCAUGGCCCCUGCACAAGAUGACACGUAAAUUCCGGAAGCAUUCCAUAUUUUU